rnacentral:rRNA from 1 species
CUUUUGAGGUUAUAUGAAAGGUUGAACCUGCCCACUGAGGUAUUAAAGGGCUGCGGUAUCUUGACCGUGCAAAGGUAGCAUAAUCAUUAGUCUUUUAAUUGAAGACUUGUAUGAAUGGUUUGACGAAAAAUAAACUGUUUUAUUAUUAUAAAUUGAAAUUUACCUUUAAGUUAAAAGGCUUAAAUUAAUGUAAGGGACGAGAAGACCCUAUAGAGUUUAAAUAUUAUAAAUUAUUAAAUGAUUUUGGGUUAAAAAUUGUGUAUUUUUUAUUAUAUUUGGUUGGGGUGAUGAGAGGAUAAAAAAAACUCCUUUUAUUUAGUAACGGUGAUGAAUGGAAAAAAAGUAUGAUCUUGUAUUAUGAAUUUUAAGAAAAAAUUACCUUAGGGAUAACAGCGUAAUUUUGUUUGAGAGUUCGAAUUGAUAACAAAGAUUGCGACCUCGAUGUUGGAUUAAGUUUAUAAUUGGGUGCAGAAGCUGAAUUAAUAGGUCUGUUC